UUUUUUUUUUUUUUUGCUAUUUCUUUGGGCUGCUCCCGCGGCAUAUGGAGGUUCCCAGGGUAGAGGUUGAAUCGGAGCUGUAGCCACGGGCCUACCCCAGAGCCACAGCAACGCGGGAUCCGAGCCGCGUCUGCAACCUACACCACAGCUCACAGCAACGCCGGAUCCUUAACCCACUGAGCAAGGGCAGGGACCGAACCCGCAACCUCAUGGUUCCUAGUCAGAUUCGUUAACCACUGCGCCACGACGGGAACUCCUCACUCUCUGGUUCUUAAAGGACUCAGGCACCCCAUCAACUGCAACAGACUCAACAGACCCUUUGGUUAUUCCAGCCGAGGCUGCAGCCAGGCCUUUGACCGAGACAAAUACCCCGGGAGGGACGCGCCAAGUGACUCGCCAAGGGAGGGGAGUAAACCGGCAGGAGCAGGUCCUCGAUUGUCCACCAAGGACCGAAUUCAUCUGUGGUCAGAGCAUCAUCCGGGCCCAGCAGGGCGAUGCCUCGGAAGAUGCCUCCACGACCCACAGCCGCGAGCUCCACCCCAACCCCAGGCCACCGGGCUCGCCAAGGCCUUGGCCCAAGCGGAAUGGAGAGUGAGGGCAUGUGGCGAAGGCGAGUCCAUCCGCGGGAAAUCGAAGAGGAAGAGGAAACUUGCCAUGCUGAGAGCAAAUUCACCCCCUCACAACACUCACUGACUCACGUACCCACCAAGAUGGCAUGUUCUUUGAAGCACGCUGUCACCCUGAAAGUGACUCUCUGGGGUCACAUGCCGAUGCCAGAAGCAACUCUCCUGGGCUUAGAAGAACGUGAAAAGCUCUCAUGGGCCACAUAGCUUUGGCGUGCCUCCGACAGUACCAGAAACAUCUUUUGAGAUCCUGAGCUAUUACGCUAUCCCCUCCUUUGGAAAAAAUAGGACAAUCCAAACCCCUUGCAGGAGAUGGUAUAUCCCUAGUGGAGGAGGGACAAUCAUAAAACAUGAGAAGGGGGAGGGGCCAGAAGGAAGUGUCUAGAAUGAUUCACAGUCUUAACUACUUUUCUCCACCUAACUCACUUCGUCACUCACAAAUACACUUGGUGGCAGCUGCUGAAGUCAAAGGCGGAACUUGGGGAUGGGGAUGGGGACUCGAGCUGGCCCACGUGCCUGUCCAGCCGUGACAUGAUGUGGGUCACCUGGGUGCGGGGCCCAGGUAUCGGAGCUGACCAGGUAUGGAAGGAGCCCUGUCGAGGAGGCUUUGGGGCUGGAGGGAUGGAGCUGGGGCUCCAGCUAGAGAUUUAAUAGCAGUCCCUCUGCAGCCCAGGAUGUAGUCAGGAUCAGGAACACUGGUUUCACAGCCAGAAGUCUGAUCAUCUCUUUCUCCCUUUUUCAUUGAAAAAGAAAAUAUCUAAGAUACUGGAGAAUACAGUAAAAUCCUUAACUCCAUUUCCUCCUCCCACCCCCGCGCGCUCUGUCUCUCUCUCUCUCGCUCUUUUUCUUUCCUGGCGGCAAGGCUGGAUAAGCUUAUCAAGUGCAGGCAAACUACAUCGUAGCUCUGAUCCUUUCGAGAAAUCCAUUUGGCGCCUUUAACGUUUCAUUUGGCAGAUUGAAUUUCAGACAUGUAUUUAUGGGGCUGGGUUUGCCCUUAACAGAGUAUUGCAUAAAUCCCAUUACAGUAUCCACUUUAGCGUGUUUGGGGUUUUCUAAGCCAGGGCUUUAUUUAAGUGGACAGCCCCGGAAUGACCUGCUCUGGCUCAGAAACUCUCUCCUCUUCCUCCUUGCAGAUUAUCUCCAUCAUCAUCAAUGUCAAGUGAAGUUUUAGGAAAAAUCCUUUCAGCACAGCCGAGAACAAGCCCUGUUCCAGCCUUGGCGACCGGGCGUCAUCACCCUCUGGUGAAUUAGGGGGUUCCCUUCCAAGAACCACCCCACCCCACCCCACCCCACAUCCCUCUUUCUUCUGGCCAUAGCCAGGGAAGGGGUGGAAACGAUACGAAGCUGAUUUGGUAUUUCUUCAAUUUCCUACAAGAAAGGCACAUUACUUGUAAUUUCUGGAACAAAAGAAUCACAAAGAAAAGUGAGCUAGAGGGAAAAAAUGGGGAAAGAAGAGAUCUGGGUUAGGAAGCCUGAGCGAGCCGGCUCCUCUCUUUAACCCUGAGGGAGAAAAUGGAAUGAGCAGCCCCCACGACGUGCCCGCACUCGUAACUAAGAGGGAUGCUGAGACGGUGCCCGGUGCGUGGGUACCCAGGCUGCCAGACCUUGCAUCCGAUGCACAUACGCUGGUUUCCUUUCCUAGCCGGCCCUCCGGGGGGCUGGACAGGCCAUUUACCUUACAGGUGGCCAGGCAGGGACACCGCUAAGAGGCCCCUGGAGUAGGCAGCUCAGGGGUCCAGCGUGGCAUGUGACACACGGGGGUCCACCAGGCUGAAGCAUUACUGGGUGAGGGGCCCUUUCCAUCCUCCCAGGACCCAUGCUGGAAGCAUAGGCAGAGCUGUCCGAUCACACUGAUUUUCACAUCAGUUGGCUCAAGAGCAGAAAGGCGAGGGAGGUGGUUGGUGAUGGGACCACCUCAGAAAGCCAGGAGAAGCUAAAGGAGCACCACCUGACCCUCUGGGACCCUCUCUUCCCCAGGCAGCACCCCCCCAUCCACGGAGCCUGGCAGCCCAGUCCCUUGUCACUUCAUUCUAUCACACAAGCAAGCUUUACGAAAAUGCAACGGCAGCUGCAGUAAAUGAAGAAAUACCCAUGACGAGGGGCCCAGGGGCUAUUUCAGGCUGCCUCUGUCGGAUGGCAGCUGCGCCUUUGGUUACAUCUAAGUUUGGCCUCAGAGCCUGUGCAGGUAAACUGUUUCUGAUGAGGAAAAAGAAAAUGGGAACUGUCAUGGACCCAUUCCAAAAAAUAUUUGCCAAGUUCCUGCCUUACACCAGGCUCUAGGCGAGGGGCUGACGUCCAGGCAGGAGCCGCACAGAGCACGCCCGCCCGCCAGAGAUGAUGGUCUGGGGAGGGACACGCAGACAGCAGAUGUGGGGCCAGGGGAGAGAGUUGGUGGCCAACAACCAAUGGCACAGCCGAGACAGCAUGGCUUCUCCAGAUAAGACCAACAGGUGGCCAGAGGGAAUCCAGAGUAUCAAACACCCAGCACCCUCUCUCCAGGGCUUCAUCUUCUCAAAUCUCUCAUCUGCUUCUUUUUCUUCCUGUCUCACUUGCCUGUGAGUGGCUGGGGACAGAAGCUGCGCAUGAUGCUUAGGUACCAAAGCAAGCAUGAAGCAUAGGACUUCAUUUACGGCCAACUAAAGGUGGGCAGGUACUAUUAAUAUCUUCAUCUUAGAGCCGAGGCAAUCAGGGCUCAGAGAGGUGAAGGGACUUGCCCAAGGUCACACAGACAGGAGGAGGAGGAGGGAUCUGAACCACGGCUGCCUGGCUCCAGGGUCCCUGCUGGCAACCACAAUGCCCUUUGGCCUUUCAGAAAGUUCACCGUGGCUCUGACAUUGGUAUCACCAGCCUAGAGACAUGGCAGCUGGCACAUACUAGGGGCUCAGCCAAGGCCUGCUCAACUGCAUUUGAUCAUCUUAUUUAAAGCUACUGCAAUCACUCCCAGCUUUUAAGCUAUGGGCUGGGAACAAGGUCAUUCUAUAAAAAUGGAAAGCAGAAAGGUACCCUGAGGAAUUUGUUGGAGUUAGAGGUAAGAAUCCAGAAAGGCAUCUAUUCAAAUGACAACAGAACUAAGGCAUGGCCUCAAUAUACUAUGAUUAAAUGAGAUGUGCUGAAGAAUUACGUAACAGCUCAGAAGCACAAUUUAAGUCUCCACUGGCGCUUGCCUCUUUGUAAAAUUAGCAUUUCUGUUAAGCUCAUAAUAUAGGAGCAUGGGGUUUUAUAUAACUGCUCAGGUCACACGGGGAAAUGAAGACAUACUCCCUUCUCUUUCUAACGCUUGUGCUUCCCAGAGAGAACGGUCUAGAAGGCCACGUGAGACGGCUGAUCAGAAUAACAACAAUAAUGAUAACUGGCUCUUUUGUGUACAUCCUGGUUGCCAGACCCAGGCUCAACGAUCCCACUGCACUAUCUCAUUUAAUCCGCAUAAGACCCUUCUCUGACAGGCAAGUAUUACAGGUCCCAUUUUACAGAGAGGCAAACCCAGUGAAGCCAGGCCCUGAAUGCAGGUCAUGGGACUACCGGUCAUGUGACUCAGUCCCUGGGUCACAUUUACAACACUGUGCCACAAACUACACCAAAGAUGAUGUCAAGGAUUAAAAAAAAAAAAAAAAAAAAAAAAUCAUCUUGCCAAAAUCCCAACAUCUCAGGAAGGCAAGACGGCCGGGACCAUCUGGGCCUAUGCGGGGUACAAGCUGCCUGCUUCCCACUUUACUGGCAUUUCCCUGGGCUGAGCCCCCACACAUGGCCACAGAUACACACUUUUCAAGCCCAACAUCCUCUGUCUCCAAUCACAUUUGGCUUGAAGGAAAUCAAGAAGGCAUCUGGGGACAAGUGAUCUUUAUCUGUACCAAAUGUGUGUUGGGACCGCUCCAGGAAACGGUCCCACGUUAAGCCAAUGUCACCCACAUCUGCUUGGCAUGCACCCUUGUCCACAUUGCAACACUUGGAAUUGUAUCUCUCUUGGAGUGUCGCCCUGGAAAAAAAUGUCACCAGGUCCAACAAGACCAACACCCUACUUUUCACACAGCAGUUAUCCAGAUAAAGAAACGAGAGGGAAAGGGGGAAUCAGACCACUCCUUCAAAGUGUCUCUCUCCGCGCACCAAUUAUAGAAAACUGUUCUUGGGGGUGGGGGCCUUUCGGAAGUAUGAAGGAAUGUAAAUCUGGCCAGUUUUAAAAAUAAGCGUGAAAUUCACUUUCCUAGAUUCCAGCACCAUCUCCCCAGGGCCAAAUCAUGCUCGGCAAUACUUGCAGCAAAGGGGCUGAGCACUGGUUUGCCUCUCUUCUGGACGGGACUAGUCAUUCUCUUCUGCAAAUUCCUUCCCUUAAGGGUGAGCUGGAUUUAGCGCCUCACGUAAAUGAACGGAAUAUGGCAGAAGUGAUGGUAUUUUAUGCCCGAAGUUCAGUUUCACAAGGACCACAGCUCCCAUUUUUGGUGCUCCUUUUCCUACAGUUCUCCUUCUUGGAUCACUGAUUCUGGGGGAAUCCACCUACCAUAUUUUGAGCUGCCCUAUGGUGAAGAACCAAAAAAGGCCUCCAGCUCAACACCAGCAAGGAACCAUGGCCUUCAGUCCAACAGCCUGUGAGAAACCAAAGGCUUGCUGACAACCCUGUGAGCGAGCUGGCAAGUGGAUCUUCCCCUCGGAUGAGCCUUCGGAUGAGACCACAGCUCUAGCCACCAGCUCAAAUGCAGAAUGAAUGGAUAACUUCCGUUAUCUUUUCUAAUUAAAGUAAUACAUGUUCACUGAGAAAAAUUUAGAAAAUGAGGUUCAAGAGAGACCCUGGAUCAGAACACUCAGUUAAGCUGCUUCUAGAUCCCUGACCCACAGAAACUGAGAUGAUACACAUCCACUGUUUGAAGCCACUAAGUCUAAGGUGUAAUUUAUGCACAUUAGGUAAUGAACACAGUGCCACAUACGAUGGAUUUGAAUACCGCUAACAGAACACAUCCCAUGUUGUGGGAUGCACGGGUCUAAACAUAUAAACGGUAAAUUUCUUUGUACUAUGAAGACGAGGGUGGGUGAGAGGAUGCUUGGCAAUUCUAGAGCCAAAACUAGGUCGUCCAUCUGAAGGCCUUAGAUGAAUCUGCACUUCACCAUCCCAGGGCCAAUUAAUACAAAAGGCAGAGAACAAAGACUUUCCUGAGAACAAUUUUCAACAUGGAAAUACACACUGCUGUCAAAUGUUUGCUAUUUUAUCAACUCAUACAAGUCAACAAAUUAUAAAUGGGGAUGACUGUCUGAAUGAGGAUCCAUAUCCAUUUCGGGUUAUAGUCAGUAUAACCGUAUUCUUAGUUAUCUGUCUCAGUUCUUUGUCAAUUCUUCAACCUUAAUUAUGCAGGAGAGUAGUAAGACCACGGGCCUUAGGGACACACAGACCUGGAUUCCAGUCCCACCUGUGCCCCUCCCUAGCUAUGGCACCUUGGGAAAGCAGAAACAGAGUCUCAUCUGCCGAUGGUGACACAACUGUGUCAAUGCAAAGGUUCAAUGUUUUUAUUUGAAAAUUCUGAGUAUGGCCUAUGGCACACAGUUGCCCAAUAAAAUCUGAGCUUCCUUAUGUAAUCUCCUCCUGGCUCUCUGCUUUGAUCUGAGAUAACCCAGGCUGAAUAUCUCCGGUGGGUGUGGGAGUCAGUAUCACAAAGGAAUUGAAGGCAAAGGCAAAGGUUCAAGGAAAGCCAAGUUCCGGAGUUCCCGUUGUGGCUCAGGGGUAAUGAGCCCAACUAGCAUCCAUGAGGAUGCAGGGUCGAUCCAUGGCCCUGCUCAGCUCAGUGGGUUAAGGACCCGGUGGUGCCGUGAGCUGCAGUGUAGGUUGCAGAAAUGGCUUGGAUCUGCCAUUGCUGUGGCUGUGGUGUACGCCUGUAGCUGCAGCUCCCAUUAGCCCCCUAGCCUGGGAACCUACAUGUGCCUGGGUGCAGUCUUAAAAAGAAAAAAAAAAAAGAGAGAAAAGCAAAGUUCCCACACUAACUAAUGGUGUGUCUGUGAGCAUCUUACCUACCCUCACCUGUAAAAUGGGGUAACAUCAGCACCCACCUCUGUUCUGAUGACUGAAAGAAAUAAUUAGUGCCAGGCACACAGUGAGCAUUAAAUAAAUGGUAGCUAUCUUGUUAAAUUUAUUAUUCUUCUCACUAUGAUUAUUUAAUUCAUAAUUGGCAGGACAAAUCCCAGCCCACCAAAAGGUUUUGUUUGGUUCACACAGGGUGUUAAUAAAAUAAAUAAAUAAACUUGUGUUAGUUGUCAAUAUAUAUGAGAUCACAGCGAAAAAUCCAACUUUCUGGUUUCUUUUAGAACUUGAAAGAGCAGAUAAUGCUGGGGCUAUUCUCUCAUAGCUACAGACAGCUGGAGCCAAGAAGCUCCUGUCCACUUAAGAUAGCCUAUCUGUUCUUCUAUUCACCACAAUCCCCACCAUGCCCUAUUACCCUACACCUGACCCACAGAAGAGACUUAUCCACCUGCCUGGCCUUAAUGGCAUUUGGGUUUUUGACCCUUGCUUUAAUUCCUUAAAGAUGUGACUCCAUUUGAAAUUCUAAGAUAUUUUUUAAAAAUACCAAAUACUCUAAGUAGCAAUGGCAAGAAUAGAUAAUGAAUAAGAUUAAAUCUUCCCUUAGGAAAUCCUCAGCAACAGCGAGUGCCAGAUAAUGGCUGAGGAUAAAGAUAGAGUCAGAUCAGAAGGCGGAUAAAGGUCUCUGCAACACCCCUCCGACCAUGACCCAAAAACCAGCUGCCAGAGCUUAAGUAUCAACAUCUCUGCCCGCCCCCCACCCCCAGCCUGUGAUGGUUAAUUUUAUGUGUCCACUUGACUCGGUCACCAGCUGCCUAGACAUUUCGUCGAAUGUUACUCUGAGUGUGCCUGCGAGGGUGUUUCUGGAGGGGAUUCACAUCCGAAUGGGAGACUGAGUAAAGCAGCCUGUCCUCCCUGAUGUGGAUUAAGCCUCAUCCCAGCAGUUGAAGGUCUAAAGAGAACCAAAAAGGCUGACCCUCUGCCAAGUAAGAAGCAUUCCUUCUGCCUGAUAGCCUUCAAACUGGGAUGAUGGGUCUUUUCCCUGCCUUUAUUUAUUUACUUAUUUUGCUUUUCAGGGUCACACCUGCAGCAUAUGAAAGUUCCCAGGCUAGGGGUCGAAUCAGAGCUACAGCUGCCAGCCUACAACACAGCAAUGCCAGAUCCGAGCCACGUCUGUAACCUACACCACAGCUCCCAGCAACGCUGGACCCUUAACCCACUGAGUGAGACCAGGGAUCAAACCUGUGUCCUCGUGGAUACCAGUUAGGUUCAUCACCGCUGAAUCAGGACGCGAACUCCCUUUCCCUGCCUUUAGAUACAAACUGAAACACUGUCCUUCCUGGUUACUGAGCCUGCUGGCCUUCAAACCGGAACUUACACCUUGGGACCUCCUGGCUCUUAGACCUUUGGACUCAACACUUGGAACCACCCACACUCUCAGCUCUCCGGGUCCCUGUCUGCAAACUGCAGAUCUUGGGACUUCACUGCCUCCGUAACAGCGUGAGCCAAUUCUUUAUAAUAAAUCCAUUUCUCUCUACAUAUACAUCCUGUUGGUUCUGUUACUCUGGAGAAACCUAACACAAGCCCCUCUCAAAAAAAAAAAAAAAUAUAUAUAUAUAUAUAGCUGGUAUCAAAAUGAUGGUACAGGGCUUGCAUCCGAUGGUGAAUCAGAAUCAAAGAACCACAGGAAGCUGCAUCCCAGCCUAUGACCCGUUGUUUAAGCUGAAAAGGUUCAAUUACCUGGAGGCUCGUCGGCUGCUAUAGGCUGACUCGAGUACCUUUUUUAGCUUCUGAAGGCUCCUGGGCUGUGCAUUUGCAGUGAGCUUGGUAGCUUCUCCUGCCUGGAGGGAAGGGGCAGAGGCCACCCC
ensembl:lncRNA